rnacentral:rRNA from 1 species
CAGUCGCCGCGGUAAUACGGAGGAUCCGAGCGUUAUCCGGAUUUAUUGGGUUUAAAGGGUGCGUAGGUGGUUUUUUAAGUCAGGGGUGAAAGACGGCAGCUUAACUGUCGCAGUGCCUUUGAUACUGAAGAACUUGAAUGAACUAGAGGUAGGCGGAAUGUGACAAGUAGCGGUGAAAUGCAUAGAUAUGUCACAGAACACCGAUUGCGAAGGCAGCUUACUAUGGUUUGAUUGACACUGAGGCACGAAAGCGUGGGGAUCAAACAGGAUUAGAUACCCCCGUAGUCCCUGUCUCUUAUAU